AACUUUCAACAACGGAUCUCUUGGCUCUCGCAUCGAUGAAGAACGCAGCGAAAUGCGAUAAGUAAUGUGAAUUGCAGAAUUCAGUGAAUGAUCGAAUCUUUGAACGCACCUUGCGCUCCUUGGUAUUCCGAGGGGCAUGCCUGUUUGAGUGUCAUUAAUAUAUAUAUAUCAAACUUCUCUUUGUUGAGUGGUUUUGGAUGUGGGGGUUUUUGCUGAGUCUCUUAACGGGCUCAGCUACCCUGAAAUCGAUUAGCAGAACAACCCUGUUCAUUGGUGUGAUAACUAUCUACGCUAUUGAAUGUGAGGGGCAAGCUCAGCUUUCUAACAGUCCUUUGACAAUUCUUCAUUAAUUGGACCUCACAUCAGGUAGGACCACCCGCUGAACUUAAGCAUAUCAAUAAGCGGAGGCU
rnacentral:misc_RNA from 1 species